rnacentral:rRNA from 1 species
UACGAAGGGGGCUAGCGUUGCUCGGAUUGACUGGGCGUAAAGGGCGCGUAGGCGGUUCGUACAGUCAGACGUGAAAUUCCUGGGCUCAACCUGGGGGCUGCGUUUGAUACGUGUCGUCUUGAGUUCGGAAGAGGGUCGUGGAAUUCCCAGUGUAGAGGUGAAAUUCGUAGAUAUUGGGAAGAACACCGGUGGCGAAGGCGGCGACCUGGUCCGAUACUGACGCUGAGGCGCGAAAGCGUGGGGAGCAAACAGG